rnacentral:rRNA from 1 species
UACGGAGGGGGCUAGCGUUGUUCGGAAUUACUGGGCGUAAAGCGCACGUAGGCGGCUUUGUAAGUUAGAGGUGAGAGCCCGGAGCUCAACUCCGGAAUUGCCUUUAAGACUGCAUCGCUUGAAUCCAGGAGAGGUGAGUGGAAUUCCGAGUGUAGAGGUGAAAUUCGUAGAUAUUCGGAAGAACACCAGUGGCGAAGGCGGCUCACUGGACUGGUAUUGACGCUGAGGUGCGAAAGCGUGGGGAGCAAACAGG